UGUGACGUUAUUAGCCUCGUAUUUAUGUUAUGUUGGGCAUGCGCCCGGUUCGUUAUGUUAUGUUAAAUGAUGUUAUGCGUGAGAAUAUGAAAUGAAGUAUUGAAGUUCAAAUUCGGGUGUUCUUUCGUUGUUACAUACCGGAUAUUCUUACAUGGUGUCAGGUGAAACACCCAUCUUUGAUAGGUGAAACACCCAUCUUUAGGAGGUAAAUGAUUGCUUUGCUGGUUCUUGUUUCGCGAUGACAGAUCCGAAUCCAAUCGUGCCUGGGCCUAGUGCUUCCUCUGAAGGAAAUAGCGGAACAUCGGCGUUCAUAUCUAACGUGCCAUUACCCCCACGAUUAAGUUUAGAAGGGAAUUUGGCAGAGAAUUGGAAGCAAUGGAAACAAAUCUAUGAUGCGUACGAAACUGUUACGAAUUUGAAGUCUAAACCAGACAAUUUUCGAGUGGCUGCUUUCAUCACUUGCAUAGGACCGGAAGCCCUUCGAAUACACAAUUCACUUCCGUACCAGGAGGAGGGUGAACGUCAAAACAUUGAGCGAAUCUUCGAAUUAUGGAAUACUUACUGUAUUGGAGAAACAAUUGUGAUUUACGAACGGUAUAAAUUCAAUAACUGUACACAGGGCCCUACAGAGUCAAUUGAAACUUAUGCGGCUUCUUUGCGUGCCCUCGCAGCCACAUGUGCAUUUGGACCACUUAAUGAUGAGUUGAUACGUGACCGAAUUGUUUGUGGCAUUCACAACAAUGCUGUGCGACGUAAGCUACUGCAAGAACCAAAACUCUCAUUAUCUAAAUGCAUUGACUUAUGCAGGGCCACAGAAACAACUACUGCUCAAGCAAAAAUAAUUGCUGGCCAAGAUGAUAAUCAAGACCUCAUGGCCCCUUAUGUUGGAAAGCAAAGCAGCCCGAGGAAGACCACUGGAGACACAAGAGGUUUUAUUUCCGACUGCAAAUUUUGUGGGCGUAGCCAUAAAAGAAACAAAGAGAGUUGCCCAGCCUUUGGCAGAUAUUGUUCUGGUUGUGGUAAGAGAAACCAUUUUGUUGAGAAGUGCAGCUUGAAGAAAUCACCAGGUAUGAGAGAUACAUUUUCUAAAGCCAAAAUACAUGCAGUGAAGGAAGAAAACACUUCAAAUGAUGAUGAAAUUCUCAUUGUUGAAAUUUCACCCAAAAAUAAUCUGGCAAUAAAUGCUGUGUCCCAGUCCCCUCCUAAGAACAAAAUUUUUGCCUCCAUGAUUAUAAAAGGCAGGCAAAUUAGUUUUCAAAUUGACUCAGGUGCUACCUGUAAUGUCCUUCCAGAACACUUCGUUCCUCCAGGCACAAAAGUUGAAAAAUCGGAUCACUCUUUGCGCCUGUACAGCCAAGCCUUAUUACCGAUAAAUGGUAUUUGUAAACUUAAGGUAGUAAACCCAAAGAUCCAGACUGAGUACACUGUCAGAUUUGUUGUUGUAAAAGGUGACUAUGUGCCAUUAUUAGGAGCAAAUGCAGCACAAAAGAUGGGACUUCUGACUGUUAAUUAUGCUAAUAUCUUUAACGCAAGUGUAGAUAAUGUUAGCUCUAACAGUAUUGCUUCAAACAGCACACAUCAACAGGCACAACCAACGGUUGUCAUGGAAACAGUCUUAUCGACCACCGCAGUGGCUCCACUCAGUAUUGCAGAUAUAGAGAACCGUUUUGGAGAUGUCUUUGAAGGUCUGGGUCACAUGCCAGGCAAAUUGCACUUAGAUGUUGAUGAGUCACAAACCCCUGUUGUCAUGCCGCCUCGCAGAGUACCAAUCGCUCUCAAAGCCAAACUCAAGGCUGAAUUGGAAAGGCUGGAAAAUCUUCAUGUCAUUCAGAAAGUUACAAGUCCAACAGAUUGGGUAUCAAAUCUCGUCAUUGCAGAAAAACCAAAUGGGAAACUGAGGGUGUGCAUCGAUCCACAACACCUCAAUAAAGCAUUGAAAAGAAGUCAUUAUCCUUUACCGCUUAUUGAGGAUGUGCUACCAGAGCUAGAGGGUGUCAAGGUAUUCAGCAAAAUUGACCUGAAGGAAGGGUACCUUCAAAUAGAGCUCGAUGAAGAAUCAAGCAUGCUCACAACGUUCCAGACACCAUGGGGGCGUUGGAGGUACCUCAGGAUGCCAUUUGGAAUUAAACCAGCAUCAGAACAUUUUCAACACAAAUUUGAUCAGUGCAUUGAAGGCCUAUCUGGGGUGUAUGCAGUCGCUGACGAUGCUCUUGUUACCGGUAGAGGAGAAACUUACGAAGAAGCUGUCAAAAAUCAUGACAUGAACAUGGUGGCACUUUUGAAACGUUGUCAACAAAAAAAAUAUCAAGCUGAACAAGGACAAAUUCAAGUUCAAAUGCGAUGAAGUUUCCUUCAUUGGUCAUACCCUAACACAGAAUGGUCUUAAAAUAGACCCCGCAAAAGUUGAAGCCAUCACAAAGAUGAGAAAGCCGAAAGAUGUCGCUGGUGUACAAAGGUUCAUUGGCAUGGUAAAAUACCUGGCCAAGUUUCUUCCCAGACUAUCUGAAGUAUGCGAACCUCUGAGAAGUUUGACCCACAAAGAUGCACCAUGGGUAUGGGGAAAAGAUCAUGACAAGUCUUUUGCUGACAUACAAAAAGCAAUUUGUGAGGCACCAGUUCUAAAGUAUUUUGACCAUAAGGCAGCAACAGAAGGCCAGGCUGAUGCAUCAUCAAAGGGGCUUGGUUUCGUGCUCAUGCAAGAGGGACGUCCCGUGUCAUAUGCAAGCAGAGCCCUCACCCCUGCAGAGCAAAAUUACAGCCAAAUAGAGAAGGAGCUGCUUGCACAAGUAUUUGGAGUGGAACAUCACCAUACCUAUGUCUAUGGCAGAGAGAUUACACUUUGGACGGAUCACAAACCACUUGUCUCAAUCGUCAGCAAACCACUCGCCUCUGCUCCAAAGAGACUGCAAAGGUUGCUACUAAGAUUGCAAUCAUACGAUGUUAAAAUCUGCUAUAAACCUGGCAAAGAAAUUGUUCUAGCAGACACACUCUCUCGUGCAUACCUGCCGACAAGUGAGAGACAAAAGUCCGCAACUGAAGAAGAAGUCGAAACUAUCCACAUGUCAAAUUAUCUCCCCAUCUCUGAGCCACAGCUGAAGGAAAUACAGCGAGAAACCAAAUGUGACAGCACUUUACAAGCACUGAAAGAAAUAAUUUUGAAUGGGUGGCCAGAAAGAAAAGAUACCCUUCCUCGAUGUAUUCAUCCAUACUUCUCAAUUAGAGACGAGCUAGCAACACAGGAUGACGUAAUAUUCAAGGGUCAGAGAGCAGUUGUUCCAGAAACACUGCGCAAAAAGAUCCGGGAUAAACUGCAUGUAACACACACAGGAAUACAGAGCUGCCUCAGAAGAGCCAGAGAAGCAGUUUACUGGCCUGGCAUGAACAAAGAUCUUAUCGACUUCAUCUCGAAAUGUGAAAUCUGUAACACAUUCCAAAACAACCAGACCAGAGAGCCCCUUAUUCCUCGUGAAAUCCCAAGCCGCCCCUGGCAAAUAAUUGCUGCUGACAUUUUCACAGUCAACAACAAAGACUUUCUCUGUACUGUGGAUUGCUACUCCAACUACUUUGAGAUAGAUCGUCUAUUUUACAAAACUGCUGGGGAAAUUAAGAAGAAGCUCAAGCGACAUUUCUCCACUCAUGGCAUACCAGAUAAGCUCAUGAGUGACAACGUACCUUUCUCCUCUAAAGAAUUUCAGAAUUUUACCAAAGAAUAUGAAUUUACCACCGAGCUAAGCUCGCCAGAGUACGCACAGAGUAAUGGCAAAGCAGAAAAUGCCGUCAAAACUGCAAAGAUGCUAAUGAAAAAAGCGACUGAAUCUGGCAAUGACUUGUGCUACUAGAAUGGCGAAACACGCCCUCUGAGGGGAUGGAAAGCUCUCCUUCCCAACGUAUUUUUAGCAGACGAGCUAAAACACUGCUUCCCAUAUCGAAGAAGCUCCUUAAACCAAAGGUUGUCACUGGUGUCCAAGAUAAACUUCGAAAGAGGAAAGAGAUACAAUCAAAGUAUUAUAACAGAGGCACAAGUGAGCUAAGUGCAUUAGAGAAAGAUGAUGUAGUCCGGAUAAAGCCAAGAAAUUCCGCCAGAACAGGCCGCUUGACCAAGGGAUGUGUCAUAGAGCUAGUUGGUGUAAGAUCUUUUAUGUAAAAACCGAAGAUGGAAGAAUCUUCAGACGAAAUCGAAAGUUUCUACGUCAAACCAUAGAGCCUUUCUUUGCAGAUGAAGAAGAUUCAAUCAUUUUCCCCAUAAAGGAACGAGAAGCAGUGGCUCGACCUUAUGAAGAUCACCAAUCUGAAAUGGAGCAAUUUGAUCCGCAAGAGGCACCUCACUCACGACCUGAUGCUACUGAAGAAGAGACAGCAGCUGCAAGACCUGCUGAGACAAGAUUUGAUCACAGGCAAUUGAACUUUUACCAGCCAGUAACGACAAGGAGUGGCAGGAAAGGAAUUCGGCCUGACUACCUCGCUGGCCACAACUUCUGAUUAGCAAACUUUAAAAACAAUUAUUUUUAUUAUGUUACUGUUCUGUUUAUUCUUUUUUUGGAGGAAGGGUGUGACGUUAUUAGCCUCGUAUUUAUGUUAUGUUGGGCAUACGCCCGGUUUGUUAUGUUAUGUUAUGCGUGAGAAUACAAAAUGGAGUAUUGAAGUUCGAGUUCGAGUGUUCUAUCCUUGUUAUAUACCGGAUAAUCUUACAGUGGUAAAUCUCAAUUUUUCAUUGCCAGUAUUUCUAAUGUUCACUGUCUUUACCCCUUUUAAAUAGAAGGUGGUGGACGAUGGCAUAUCAAAAUAGCAAGGAGUUUCAUCCAUAUUCAUUAUGAUGUCAAAAUCAUCCAACGUUUUAAUCAAAGCUAAGAAUGUAUCACAACGUUCUGGGGCAUCAUCAGGAAUUUUCUGCCCAACACUUGUAACUCGACGAAACUUUAGGUUAUUUCGUCUAAUCAUUCGACGUAGCCAUCCGCAAGAAGCAGAAAAGCGCUCAUUAUUGCUUAGAUACAUAGCUGGAAAUAUAACCAUCGCCUUUCUGUGUAUCUGCUCACCAGUGACAGAAUUACGUUUACCUCUCUCUUCUUUGAUGUAGUCCAAAAAAGCAGAUUCAAGCAAUGGAUAUCUAGCGUUUGACUGUCUGUUCCUUCUAUGCGACCGAACGUUAAUUCCUGGAGUAAGGGCAGCCGACUUUGAUUCUUCCGUUUGCUUGCUCCAUCACUGCAAAUUUUUCCUCGGAAUGGAGGAAAAGAGGAAAUGUACUUUAUGGCACCGUCAACUUCAGUGGCAGUUUCAGAGGUAGGGUUCAGUUUAUGAAGUUGUUUAAGAGCUGAGCGCAGUCCUGGCAGUUGAGCUGCAAAUGGUCGAACACUUGCAACACGAUCAGUCCAUCUUGUACCUGACAGGCCGUGCAGUGAGGAUCCAAUGUUUUCUCGAAGGAUGGACCAUUGCUGGAGACUUGAGGAGAAUAGGUUGUACACUGUUUUUACCAUACCAAAAAAUGUCACUGCUUCUUUACAGCAAGCUGCAGAAUCUGCUCCACAGAGAUUGAGUGAAUGGCAGGCACAGGGUGAGUACAGGCACAAGAGAUUUUCAGCAAGGAUAUGCUGUUGGGCUCUAUUUUAUUUGCCAGACAUGUUUGCAGCAUUAUCAUAUCCUUGACCACGGCAGUCUGCAAGUGGAAUCCCAAACUUUUUCAAGGUUUCCAAGAUUAGAAUACUUAUUUCAAGACCAGUCUUCUUACAAAAAUCAACAAAUGUCAAGAAUAGCUCUUUCACAACAAAAGUUUCCAGCUCCCUCUUCAAAUAGCGGAUUAUAAAGUAGUUUGUUCAACGUGACUUCAGUCAAGUGUUCCAUCCAGAAUGAUUGAAUAGUAUUUUGCAUCAUCAAUUUCAUCCAAGACACGACUACCAACAUACUCUGCACAAAGACCAAUAAACUAGUUCUGAGAUGAUGCUGAAAGAAAAUGAGCUUGCAGUUUUUCACCUUUUUCCUGUGAUACUUGAAUUUUUGUAACAUGCUCUUGUAGAAUUGGAUCAUAGUGAGCAAGGAGCUCAAUAAGACCUGGAAAAUUCCCAUUGUGAAUAUCACAAAUUCUUUAUGAAGAUCCACGGAAAGGCAGUCCUCUUUCACCAAGAAAGACAACGACAUGAAUGAUUCUUGCAAGAAUCAUCUUCCAUUCGUGAGCCUCUGAGAGAAUCCUUUCAUUGAUGAGCAUGUCAACUCAAGAAAAUUCUUCCAAACGCCUCUCAAAUUGUCGCCAGGUGAGGUAACAUUUCUUGUGCACCGUGCUGUGCUCAUGCUCAGGAAGCCGGUCGAGAAACUUUCUCCAUUUUUGUGUUGUGCUCCAUCCAUUGGCGGACGCCAAGAUUGAUUUGGAUGAUGUAUGUUCUACUGAACUUGUGAAAAGUCUACAUGGCAAACAGAAUGAAGCACUCUUAGCAGGGCUGUUCGGUUGUUUGAAUUUCAGCACAGAUGUUGGAAAUUUUCUGCAGGUAAUGUCAUUGGGAAACUGCUCGGAUGUGCUAGAUGGCCUCUUCGUAUCAUUUCUUCCAGUUCCUUUGUUGUAGGAGCGGCUGGAGACGUUCCAAUGUUGAAGCCGAAAUGUACUGGCUUGGUUAUUUCACUAUGAGCUGACUCCUCUUGACUUGGGGUUGCUUGUAAAGUUGCUGGAGACACUGUUUUAUCUGGCUUAUCUGAGAGUUCUGGCCAUGUUGAGGUAUCUGGCUUAUCUGAGAGUUCUGGCCAUGUUGAGGUAUCUGGCUUAUCUGAGAGUUCUGGCCAUGUUGAGGUAUCUGGCUUAUCUGAGAGUAGGUUGUGGACCGGUUUGUUCAUUUUCGAGCCCAGAAGUUUCUUUUUCAGUUUCAGUUCGCUUUUUAAUACUAACAUCAAAUAAUGUUAGUGCGCCUGUCUUAGUUUCUUUGUCCCUCUCCUUCUUUUCCCGUCGUUUCUGACCACCAGACUUAUGUUGAUAGGAGGACAAACUUACUUCGAAAUUCUUUUUAGCUCUUCUCUUCAACAGGUCUCUCCAAAUUUGAUCUAAAUUGACUGGUGAGAAAACAUUUUACAGCGUAUUAAGUACGUUAUAUCAAAAGUACGUUGUAACGAGGGUAAGUAAAAAUUGAUUAAAACCAAGCACACCUUUUGCCGGUGUCAUAUGCGUUUCGGUAACCUUAUGCAUUUCGGUCCGGGUGCUCAAACGCAUGGCAAUUUUGGUUAUGCAAAAUCGUACCCAAGCACUUAAACAAUAGAGUACCAAAACGAAUGGUAAAAUUUAGCAUGCAAAACGGUCCGGGCACACAAACGCAUGGCAAUUUUGUUUAUACAAAAACGUACCAAAGCACUUAAAUAAUAGAGUACCAAAACGAAUGGUGGAAUUUAGCAUGCAAAAUGGUCCCGGUACACAAACGCAUGGCAAUUUUUCUUAUACAAAACGUACCCAAGCUUUUAAAAAACAGAGAACCGAAACGAAUGGUGGAAUUUAGCAUGCGAACCGGUCUUGGAACACAAAUGUUCUUGUUUAUAUUGUUCAGAACGUAAAGAACAAUCAAACUAUGUCUAACAAGGGGUACUAACAAGAAGCAGUGCUGUGAUUUCCCUUGUUAAGUUUAAACAAAAAAGUAAAACAUUAAUGGCGACUCCAAAGUUUUUUUGAUCGAAAAAUGUGAAAUUUUAAACUCAAAAAAGCAUUGUGUUCAAUUUGUUAUUUAUAACGUGUCAUAAUAUCGCACUACGAUGAAAUCACAUGAUUUGAAACACAUUGCGUUUUACAAUGUUACACUUUUGCAGAGGGUACCAAAACGCAUAUUACACCGGGACCAAGCACUCCAGUACGUUAUAUCCGAAAGUACGUAAUAACCAAGUAUUAUAACUUAUAACGGGAUUCUACUGUAUUCUUUCCUGACAGAGCUGUCUGUUUUGGUCAACUGUAAUUAACGGUAGGUAAUUACAACAUAACUUUAAGUCUUCGCUUUAAUAUCAUUACAAAAUAUGACAGAAUAAUACAGCUUCAAUUUUAACGGGCCCCCAAAAUGGCCAGGGCCCCGGGGAAGUUGCCCCCGGCUACCCCCUUUCGGCAGUACUGUCUAUAGUGACUACCGAAGAAAACAAAAUGAAAAAUACCAUUGUGAAAUGAUUGCUGCCCACCGAUGCAUUCCAUACAAGAUUAUUGGGGCUCCGGAAAGUCCAUUUUCUCUAGCGACAAAAGAAACCCCGGAGACAUUUCCUGAAGAAAAAGCAUCAUCGACUUCAUCGUCACAAACUUUCCAGGAAUCCUUGACUGGAAAAUCAAAUGAAGCCUGUUCGGCUCUUAGUGACAUGUAACUUCAACCAGAUACUGCUGCUCGAAUGGGUGAUCAGGCUGUCGCCUCUACGCUACACUCUGAAUCUCAGUUGACUUUGUGACCAAUCAUUUUGAGGAGUUUCCAACGGAUCUGGCUAACUUCCGAGGUACAAGAAUAACAGCCAAACAACGUGCCAAAAUUGUGCGACAUGGACUAUGCCAACCAACCAGCAUCUUAUUCUCGAAGAAUAUCGAUGGUAGAUGCUUUAAACAAUCAUGGUAUAAAAGAAAUAAGAGUUUACGCGAAUGGUUGAUAUAUUCUCCAAAAGUGCAAAAAAUGUUUUGUUUCUGCUGUUGGCUUUUUCCUUGCACAUCAGAAAAAGAUUUAGAGAAAAAUUGGAGCCAGAUAGGUGUUGGAAAUUUCAAGAAAGGAAUCGAGAAGAUCAGGGCACACGAAGAUACAAGGCUUCACUGUAUUAGUCUUGCACAGUGGGAGUCUUUCAGCAGCGACUUCUGCAUGGCCAAACAAUUUAUGCAGAAUUUCAGAGGUAACUUGAAACAGAUAGGGAGAAGACAUUAUUGAUCCUAGAUCGAAUCUUCUCCAUAACUUUUUUUUUUGGCAUUACAAGAGAUUUCAUUCAGAGGUGAUCAGUUUGAAAGCCAAGCACAAAUGUCUUCGUUUGAAAAAAGUGGUAACUACCUGGAAUUGCUACAGUUGGUGGCAAAAUAUUAUCCAGUUCUGGUUGCUCAUCUUUCAAGCAAGAAGUCGGAGGGGGGAGGGGAAAGUACACUUCUCCUGAAAUUCAGAAUAGAAUUAUCAGCUCAAUAUCUACAGUAAUUCAAAAUCAAAUUAUAACAAAAAUAUACAAACAAUAAUUCAAGAAAUAAACUCUUUAGAUUCGAAGAAGGCAACUGGCCCUGAUGAUAUACCAUCUAAAGUCAUCAAAACAUCAGUGGAAGAACUUUCUGAAACAUUACAAAUUCUCUUUAACCACUCUGUCAAAACUGGUGGAUUUCUCAAUGCAAUAAAACAAGCAGAUGUAUCACCAGUAUUUAAGAAAGAAAAUCCAAAUGAUAAAAAGAACUACAGGGCGGUUUGGUCUGAAAGUUUUCUGCAAAAGGCAUUGAAUUUGACGGAGUUUGACAUUCAUGGCGACGUUUACAAUGAUGUAACAUUUUCAAGUUUGAAUUGGUCAGCUGAUAACAGGAGACUGGUGUACAUUGCUGAAACAAAGAGGGAGACUCGGCAGACAUUUUUUCAACGCAAAAAGGCGCUAGUUUUGCGUUGACAAAAGUUGCUUCAGGAAACCUGACAGUGAAGACCUAACGUUUUAACACGCGAUCCCUAAUCCAUUCGUUGUGAAAAUAUUUUAAAUUUCACGUUGCAACAAGCUGCUUCUAAUUCUCCAAGAUCAGAAUGCAAGGACCCAGAAAAAAAGACGGGUGACAAGUAUUUGUAUGAAGAGGACUGGGGUGAGCAGAAAAAAGAAUUAUUGCAUUCAGCAAUCGUUGUUGUUGAUAUUCACAGAGAGGAAGUCAGU